ACUCCUACGGGAGGCAGCAGUGGGGAAUAUUGCACAAUGGGCGCAAGCCUGAUGCAGCCAUGCCGCGUGUGUGAAGAAGGCCUUCGGGUUGUAAAGCACUUUCAGUCGUGAGGAAGGUAGUGUAGUUAAUAGCUGCAUUAUUUGACGUUAGCGACAGAAGAAGCACCGGCUAACUCCGUGCCAGCAGCCGCGGUAAUACGGAGGGUGCGAGCGUUAAUCGGAAUUACUGGGCGUAAAGCGCAUGCAGGUGGUUUGUUAAGUCAGAUGUGAAAGCCCGGGGCUCAACCUCGGAAUUGCAUUUGAAACUGGCAGACUAGAGUACUGUAGAGGGGGGUAGAAUUUCAGGUGUAGCGGUGAAAUGCGUAGAGAUCUGAAGGAAUACCGGUGGCGAAGGCGGCCCCCUGGACAGAUACUGACACUCAGAUGCGAAAGCGUGGGGAAGCAAACAGGAUUAGAUACCCUGGUAGGAUA
rnacentral:rRNA from 1 species